GCGGGUAGCUCAGUGGUAGAGCGUUCGAUUGCAGCUCGAAGGGUCACUGGUUCGAAUCCGGUCUCGCG
rnacentral:tRNA from 1 species